rnacentral:tRNA from 1 species
AUUUAUAUAAUAUAAGCCCAUUAUAUUUGAUUUCCAAUCAAAAAAUCUAAUAUUAGUAUAAAUA